AUUGAACGCUGGCGGCAUGCUUUACACAUGCAAGUCGAACGGUAACAGCACUUCGGUGGCUGACGAGUGGCGAACGGGUGAGUAAUGUAUCGGAACGUGCCCAGUAGUGGGGGAUAACUACUCGAAAGAGUGGCUAAUACCGCAUGAGAUCUCUGGAUGAAAGCGGGGGACCGUAAGGCCUCGCGCUACUGGAGCGGCCGAUAUCAGAUUAGGUUGUUGGUGGGGUAAAGGCCUACCAAGCCUGCGAUCUGUAGCUGGUCUGAGAGGACGACCAGCCACACUGGGACUGAGACACGGCCCAGACUCCUACGGGAGGCAGCAGUGGGGAAUUUUGGACAAUGGACGCAAGUCUGAUCCAGCAAUGCCGCGUGAGUGAAGAAGGCCUCGGUUGUAAGCUCUUCGUCACGGGAGAACGGUAGGGGCGUAAGUAAUCCGCUACCUAAUAGACGGUACCGUGAAGAAGAAGACACCGGCUAACUACGUAGCCAGCAGCCGACC
rnacentral:rRNA from 1 species